rnacentral:sRNA from 1 species
UGCAAAUGAACAUUCCCCUUGGCUGGCGGUUUCAUUUUGUCUGCUCCUUAAUGUACACGUGGCUGGCAAAGAAGGGAAGAUGGAGCCGCCAUUUUCUAGCUGCCAUGUCUAGUCCCAGGUAGUUCUUUCCUGCCGGCAUUCACAGUGAAAGCUCCCAGCGUGCUUGUCUAUGUCUGCAGCUCAACUUCACAGGCUGCUCUUUGUUAGAAAAUGAUUUGGGGCAGCUUUUCAUUAAAAGAAAAACGUUACCAAGGACUUCUGGACUAUCUGCCUAAAUCUAUGCCCUGAUAGGUCUUCAGUUACUCAUGGUGAAACAUGUAAGCCUUGAAAAACUUUUUGGUGAGCUCAUAGGUUAUCUAUAAGAUGGUUUAUGGCCAUCUGUCUUAUAGGGUAACAACAUAAUUUAUCCUCCAAGUUUGGACAC